GACGUAGGGCGCGAGCGUUGUCCGGAUUGAUUGGGCGUAAAGAGCUCGUAGGCGGCUCGUUGCGUCGGCUGUGAAAACCCGCAGCUCAACUGUGGGCCUGCAGCUGAUACGGGCGGGCUGGAGUUCGGUAGGGGAGACUGGAAUUCCUGGUGUAGCGGUGAAAUGCGCAGAUAUCUGGAGGAACACCGGUGGCGAAGGCGGCAUCCUGGACCAAUAUUGACGCUGAGGAGCGAAAGCCAGGGGAGCAAACGGG
rnacentral:rRNA from 1 species